rnacentral:rRNA from 1 species
GAUGAACGCUGGCGGCGUGCCUAAUACAUGCAAGUCGAGCGAAUGGAUUAAGAGCUUGCUCUUAUGAAGUUAGCGGCGGACGGGUGAGUAACACGUGGGUAACCUGCCCAUAAGACUGGGAUAACUCCGGGAAACCGGGGCUAAUACCGGAUAACAUUUUGAACCGCAUGGUUCGAAAUUGAAAGGCGGCUUCGGCUGUCACUUAUGGAUGGACCUGCGUCGCAUUAGCUAGUUGGGGAGGUAACGGCUCACCAAGGCAACGAGGCGUAGCCGACCUGAGAGAGUGAUCGGCCACACUGGGACUUAGACACGGCCCAGACUCCUACGGGAGGCAGCAGUAGGGAAUCUUCCGCAAUGGACGAAAGUCUGACGGAGCAACGCCGCGUGAGUGAUGAAGGCUUUCGGGUCGUAAAACUCUGUUGUUAGGGAAGAACAAGUGCUAGUUGAAUAAGCUGGCACCUUGACGGUACCUAACCAGAAAGCCACGGCUAACUACGUGCCAGCCGCCGCCGUAA